GAGGAAUAAGCAUCGGCUAACUCCGUGCCAGCAGCCGCGGUAAUACGGGGGAUGCAAGCGUUAUCCGGAAUCAUUGGGCGUAAAGCGCCUGUAGGUUGUUUAAUAAGUCUGUUGUUAAAGACCAGGGCUCAACCCUAGAAAAGCAAUGGAAACUACUAGACUAGAGUAUGGCAGGGGUAGAGGGAAUUUCUAGUGUAGCGGUGAAAUGCGUAGAUAUUAGAAAGAACACCAGUGGCGAAAGCGCUCUACUGGACCAUUACUGACACUCAGAGGCGAAAGCUAGGGUAGCAAAAGGGAUUAGAUACCCCUGUAGUCCUAGCCGUAAACGAUGGAUACUAGAUGUUGUAUUUAUUUUACAGUAUCGUAGCUAACGCGUUAAGUAUCCCGCCUGGGGAGUACGCUCGCAAGGGUGAAACUCAAAGGAAUUGACGGGGGCCCGCACAAGCGGUGGAGCAUGUGGUUUAAUUCGAUGCAACGCGAAGAACCUUACCAGGGCUUGACAUACUACGAAUUUUCUUGAAAAAGAAAAGUGCCUUCGGGAAUGCAGAUACAGGUGGUGCAUGGCUGUCGUCAGCUCGUGUCGUGAGAUGUUGGGUUAAGUCCCGCAACGAGCGCAACCCUUGUUUUUAGUUACCAAUUCGUUGGGUUUUCUAGAAAGACUGCCGGUGACAAACCGGAGGAAGGUGAGGAUGACGUCAAGUCAGCAUGCCCCUUAUGUCCUGGGCUACACACGUGCUACAAUGGUUAGGACAAAGAGUUGCAAAUUUGCAAAAAUUAGCUAAUCUCGUAAACCUAGCCUAAGUUCAGAUUGUAGGCUGCAACUCGCCUACGUGAAG
rnacentral:rRNA from 1 species